UACGGAGGGUGCAAACGUUGCUCGGAAUCAUUGGGCGUAAAGCGCACGUAGGCGGCGCGUUAAGUCGGGUGUGAAAGCCCUGGGCUCAACCCAGGAAGUGCAUUCGAAACUGGCGCGCUUGAAUAUGGAAGAGGGUCGCGGAAUUCCCGGUGUAGAGGUGAAAUUCGUAGAUAUCGGGAGGAACACCAGUGGCGAAGGCGGCGACCUGGGCCAAUAUUGACGCUGAGGUGCGAAAGCGUGGGGAGCAAACGGG
rnacentral:rRNA from 1 species